rnacentral:rRNA from 1 species
GACGAACGCUGGCGGCGUGCUUCAUACAUGCAAGUCGAACGAGAAGCUGACUUCGGUCAGUGGACAGUGGCGGACGGGUGAGUAAUAUGUAGGAAAUCUGCCUUUAGGAGGGGGACAACAGAGGGAAACUUCUGCUAAUACCCCAUAUGAGCGUAGCUGAAAUGCUAUUCUUGAAAACUCCGGUGCCUAAAGAUGAGCCUGCAUCUGAUUAGCUAGUUGGUAGUGUAAUGGACUACCAAGGCGACGAUCAGUAGCUGGUUUGAGAGGAUGAUCAGCCACAAGGGAACUGAGACACGGGCCAGACGCCUACGGGAGGCAGCAGUGAGGAAGAUUGGUCAAUGGGCGUAAGCCUGAACCAGCCAAGUAGCGUGCAGGAUGACGGCCCUAUGGGUUGUAAACUGCUUGUAUGCGGGGAGAAAGUGGCCCACGUGUGGGUUUUUGCAGGUACCGCAUGAAUAAGGACCGGCUAAUUCCGUG